UUGCAUGCUCUGUGACCUCCUCGGAUGGUCUUGGCCCCUCUCAGUGUUGGGAUACGGGUGUUCAGACAUGCUAGAGGAAACCAUAUGGAGUUAACAGGGCCACCAGUCUCUCGAGAACAGACUGAGUCGGUAGUAUAAAACUCCAACAGUC